ensembl:lncRNA
AUAGAAGACAGUAGAGAGGUGAUGGGGUGGAUAGAAGACAGUGAAGAGGUGAUGGGGUGGAUAGAAGACAGUAGAGAGGUGAUGGGGUGGAUAGAAGACAGUAUAAAGAGGUGAUGGGGUGGAUAGAAGACAGUGUAGAGAGGUGAUGGGGUGGAUAGAAGACAGUGAAGAGGUGAUGGGGUGGAUAGAAGACAGUGAAGAGGUGAUGGGGUGGAUAGAAGACAGUGAAGAGGUGAUGGGGUGGAUAGAAGACAGUGAAAAGAGGUGAUGGGGUGGAUAGAAGACUGUAGAGAGGUGAUGGGGUGGAUAGAAGACAGUGAAGAGGUGAUGGGGUGGAUAGAAGACAGUGAAGAGGUGAUGGGGUGGAUAGAAGACAGUGAAGAGGUGAUGGGGUGGAUAGAAGACAGUGAAGAGAGGUGAUGGGGUGGAUAGAAGACAGUGAAGAGGUGAUGGGGUGGAUAGAAGACAGUAGAG